AGUGUUUACAGCCACAGUGUAC
rnacentral:misc_RNA from 1 species